rnacentral:rRNA from 1 species
AACGCUGGCGGCGUGCUUAGCACAUGCAAGUCGAACGGAAAGGCCCUGCUUUUGUGGGGUGCUCGAGUGGCGAACGGGUGAGUAACACGUGAGUAACCUGCCCUUGACUUUGGGAUAACUUCAGGAAACUGGGGCUAAUACCGGAUAGGAGCUCCUGCUGCAUGGUGGGGGUUGGAAAGUUUCGGCGGUUGGGGAUGGACUCGCGGCUUAUCAGCUUGUUGGUGGGGUAGUGGCUUACCAAGGCUUUGACGGGUAGCCGGCCUGAGAGGGUGACCGGCCACAUUGGGACUGAGAUACGGCCCAGACUCCUACGGGAGGCAGCAGUGGGGAAUAUUGCACAAUGGGCGGAAGCCUGAUGCAGCAACGCCGCGUGCGGGAUGACGGCCUUCGGGUUGUAAACCGCUUUCGCCUGUGACGAAGCGUGAGUGACGGUAAUGGGUAAAGAAGCACCGGCUAACUACGUGCCAGCAGCCGCGGUGAUACGUAGGGUGCGAGCGUUGUCCGGAUUUAUUGGGCGUAAAGGGCUCGUAGGUGGUUGAUCGCGUCGGAAGUGUAAUCUUGGGGCUUAACCCUGAGCGUGCUUUCGAUACGGGUUGACUUGAGGAAGGUAGGGGAGAAUGGAAUUCCUGGUGGAGCGGUGGAAUGCGCAGAUAUCAGGAGGAACACCAGUGGCGAAGGCGGUUCUCUGGGCCUUUCCUGACGCUGAGGAGCGAAAGCGUGGGGAGCGAACAGGCUUAGAUACCCUGGUAGUCCACGCUGUAAACGGUGGGUACUAGGUGUGGGGUCCAUUCCACGGGUUCCGUGCCGUAGCUAACGCUUUAAGUACCCCGCCUGGGGAGUACGGCCGCAAGGCUAAAACUCAAAGGAAUUGACGGGGCCCCGCACAAGCGGCGGAGCAUGCGGAUUAAUUCGAUGCAACGCGUAGAACCUUACCUGGGUUUGACAUGGAUCGGGAGUGCUCAGAGAUGGGUGUGCCUCUUUUGGGGUCGGUUCACAGGUGGUGCAUGGCUGUCGUCAGCUCGUGUCGUGAGAUGUUGGGUUAAGUCCCGCAACGAGCGCAACCCUUGUUCACUGUUGCCAGCACGUUAUGGUGGGGACUCAGUGGAGACCGCCGGGGUCAACUCGGAGGAAGGUGGGGAUGACGUCAAGUCAUCAUGCCCCUUAUGUCCAGGGCUUCACGCAUGCUACAAUGGCUGGUACAGAGAGUGGCGAGCCUGUGAGGGUGAGCGAAUCUCGGAAAGCCGGUCUCAGUUCGGAUUGGGGUCUGCAACUCGACCUCAUGAAGUCGGAGUCGCUAGUAAUCGCAGAUCAGCAACGCUGCGGUGAAUACGUUCCCGGGGCUUGUACACACCGCCCGUCAAGUCAUGAAAGUUGGUAACACCCGAAGCCGAUGGCCUAACCGUUGUGGGGGAGCCGUCGAAGGUGGGACUC